CGGACGGUCGGUGUGCGCUUGGACUGGAGCAGAGGAGAAGUGCGACACCAACAUGCUCGGUCUGGACGGAGCCCAGGGAAGGGUUAAAAGAGCGCUGUGUUUCAAUUAAACCGCACCAGCACCAGCCCGGAGGCCGACCACGGGUGCAAGAGAACACGGAAGGCGAGUCUGGAGACGAGACCCGCAUGCGAGGUGGUGGUGGAGAGAACUUUGACGCCCACAGUUGACUAAUCACUCCCAGACUCUUGCCCCUCUCACACACAUUGGCAUAGACUGGCAGACUCGCUCCCUCAGAAGAAAAAAAAAAGUCUUGCAGCUAAUAUGACUGGAGGGGGUCUAAGAAAACUGUCAGAAUUUUGGUUUUACAGUCAGAUGUCAAAGAUCAAAGUCAGACAACUGACUUUUAAGCUGCAGUCCGUAGGAUUGAGAGACGUGUAGACUUCAAAAUCCAAUGACUCCUGCUUCCUCCCCCUCCCUCUCCACUGCACCUCGGUUCUGCCUCCAGAGCUCAUCCCAGCCCGCAGUGCCUGCGCUGGCUACCAUGGCAACUGAAGUCCAGCAAGAGCUUUGAGACUGGUACACUGGACUCCGAUGAGGAAGUAAACACGGCUGCUAUGACGAGUAGAAGAGCGAGGAGAAGAGGGAGUCACCUACGACCACCACCGGGCAGCGGCCGUGGGAGACGGGACAGAGGUCGGCAUGUUGGCCCGACACCUGAGGACCUGGGAGCUGAAGACAUAGCUGAUCUUAAUGUUACGAGCCAGUUGGUACCUGCUUCUUUCACUGGUUUCCUUCAAAGAUAGUGUAGCUUCAGUUGCCUUUGCUAGAUGUAAAUAAUAUGCUGUACGAUACUUUUUUUUUCAUUUAAUUUAUUUAUUUCAAUGUUAUAUUUUAAUAUUUAUGCAACCUCAGUAUUUGCCUUGCAAUAUAGGGGAAUUUUUGAAAGUGGUUGGUUUAAAUAAAUAUAUAAAUAUACAACAUUUUGAAGAUUACUUCAAAUUUUUUAUCAAUAUACUUUUUGAAUCAAUUCAAGGCAUUACAAAUAUAUCAAUUUGGGGUAAUCACCGAUACAAUAUCUCAAAGAAAAGCAUAACAAGUUUAUCAACGUAAACAAUGAUGUAAGCUUUAUUUUGCACAUGAAUAAAAUGCAAACGAG